CCCCCCUCCCCUCAGAGGGCUGACGGAGACGCUGCUGCAGGACUUUGAGGAGAGACGAGUCAAAGAGAAGCUGGAUGAGAGCGCAUACGCAGGGAUUCAGCUGGUCGACGACGUGAAUAAUGAGGUCAUUGAGUCGACUCGAGUGACUCGACAUAAAAACAAACGUGCUCUGCAGUGGGAGGCCGGAGAGUUCGCCAACCAGGCGGACCGCUGAGACCUGAUCCUGGUUCUGGUCCUGGU